GUAAACAAAUUUUAAAUAACUCAAUUUAGGACACCCUUGCCAAACAAAAGUAUAAAUGUGACUUGAUCACCAAUAUGUAAGAAGUUACUUGCAGCAGCAUAUAUUUUGCCUUGACAUGGCCAAUAACGUUAGAGCUGCCACAAAAGCAAACUUUUUAUGCAAAGAAUAGCAGAUGUGUACAGUCAGGAGGCAAGGGUCCAUUACCGAUCGCUGCUAUCGCAUAUUGCAAGCGCUGCCUGACGUGUUAUGGCUGACAGCCAUGUCACUGCGAAGGCAGAGAUAUCCAGGGAAGCCGUGUGUCACAGAGGAACUACAUAGCCUCGGAGUGAAAGAGAGGGAAGGAUAUUGCUGCCUGCUGUAGCUGAGUGCUGAAUCCCCUGUUGCAUUGGUAGAACUAUCCCUUCAUCGCAAUGCCCUCCUUCAAUUUGGGGAGAGGAUGGACAAGCGCUCUUCCGCCGCACGUGCAACCCGCUGCGCAGCACAAUCGCAGCACGGGAGAAAUGCGCUUCCUGCGCAGUUCAUGCAGGCAGAUGCUGGCAGGCUGUGGGCGCCCAAUUGGCCAGAAGAGCUGCUCAUUAUCAGUAACCUUUAUCGAUAGUGUGUGUGUGUGUGUGUGUGUGGAGGUAUUGUGGUCCGGCAAUUUGCGGGAGUCAACAAUCAAUUCACAGACAUAUGUCUCCCAGUCAGGAGACAAUGGUCAAUAGUGUCAUCGUCAGUUCAGUUAAUAUUUCUUAAGUAACGGCUGAUUUCCCAUUUUUUCCUGUUUCAGUAAAAUAGUUUCCAUAUGGCUGUUAAAAAGUAUUGAACAAUACUGAUCCCAGUUCUUGUUUCUCUGUGGAACAGACAAUGGAAUUUCCAAUAAUGACAGUUAAUAGCAUGCUUGCAUAUUUAAUCAGAGAUAACCACACAACAUAUUGGGACUCCUUCAGUAAUUACUACACA